UACGAAGGGGGCUAGCGUUGUUCGGAAUUACUGGGCGUAAAGGGCGCGUAGGCGGCGUGUUAAGUCAGCUGUGAAAUCUCCGAGCUUAACUCGGAACGGUCAGCUGAUACUGAUGUGCUAGAGUGCAGAAGGGGCAAUCGGAAUUCUUGGUGUAGCGGUGAAAUGCGUAGAUAUCAAGAGGAACACCUGAGGUGAAGACGGGUUGCUGGGCUGACACUGACGCUGAGGCGCGAAAGCCAGGGGAGCAAACGGG
rnacentral:rRNA from 1 species